CCUACGGGUGGCAGCAGUGAGGAAUAUUGGUCAAUGGGCGCGAGCCUGAACCAGCCAAGUAGCGUGAAGGAUGACUGCCCUACGGGUUGUAAACUUCUUUUAUAAAGGAAUAAAGUGAGGCACGUGUGCCUUUUUGUAUGUACUUUAUGAAUAAGGAUCGGCUAACGCCGAGCAAGCAGCCGCGGUAAUACGGAGGAUCCGAGCGUUCUCCGGAUUUAUUGGGUUUAAGGGGAGCGUAGAUGGGUUGUUAAGUCAGUUGUGAACGUUUGCGGCUAAACCGUAAAAUUGCAAUUGAUACGGGCAGUCUUGCGUACAGUUGAGGUAGGCGGAAUUCGUGGUGUAGCGGUGACAUGCUUAGCUCUCACG
rnacentral:rRNA from 1 species